rnacentral:lncRNA from 1 species
UUUUUUCUUUUCUAUGUUCCUUUCCUGUUUUCUUUCUCUUUUGCAAUGUGUAAACCUUUUUAAUUUUCACUUAAAAAAUCAAUGAACUUUUCUUCAAAUUCUGAUUUACAGGGAGUAGCGUCACACAAACCGGCACACACACCCCCUAUAAAAAAUAGGUGCAUGAAGUAGGAUUCGAACUAUGGACCUCUUGGAUACUUCCACCAACUAUAACCAACUACAACAGCUCACCUAUUCUGUCUAAUUACUUCAUUUUUUUAAAUCAGAAUUUUGGGCAUUGUGGGGGAGGCUGCCUUAUUUUGGGCAUUGUGGCUUAACGGGAAUGGUCUGUGUUUUAACAAUAAAUAUGCUUUAUCUCCUGUCCAGGCUAUUCAUGCGUGUAUGUGAUGGCUCCGUACUUCGUCUAUCCUGCUGAGGCCGGAGGACAGAGAUCUUUUUAUGAUGGCUAUAUCUAUAUUUUUUCUGAUUUUAAAUCGCAAAAAACUAUGAGCGUGGCAGGAUUGAACCAGCGACUUCGUGGUUUACAGUUUGACACGAUAACCAAUCAGUGACCGUUAAUUGAUGUGAUUACAUAGUUCUUUCUCAUUCUUUUUCUUCUUUCCUUUUUCCUUUUUUCAAACGGUUUUGUUUGGUUUUUAUUUUCCUUUCUUUUUUCUUUUCUAUGUUCCUUUUCUUUUUUCUUUCUCUUUUGCAAUGUGCAAACCUUUUUAAUUUUCACUUAAAAAAAUCAAUGAACUUUUCUUCAAAUUCUGAUUUACAGGAAGUAGCGUCACACAAACCGGCACACACACCCCCUAUAAAAAAUAGGUGCAUGAAGUAGGAUUCGAACUAUGGACCUCUUGGAUUACUUCCACCCACUAUAACCAACUACAAC